ACAGGGGAACAACAAGGUUUAGGCGGGAAAACUGUGAGGGGAAGAAGGAGGCAAUAUGGAGGAUAGGAUUUUAAAACAACAACUGGGGUACACACAACACUAUAACCAUAUAACAAUAAACUGGGAAAAAAACUGGGAAUAACAGGGGAAACUGUCCAGUCCAUUGUAAAGCCAUAUCCAGUAGAUAAAUGUCCAUUUUGGUGUAAUUGCGUCUCAUUCUGGGUUGUAUAUCUGUCUCCAAGCUUGGAACUCUUUCCAUUCAUCUUCAUGUUCCCCAACAUGUACCUACAAGGAAUGAAUUUAACGUCCAUGACUUCUACCUCAAAAUUGCUUGGCUGAUAUAUUUUGCACAGAACAAGCUGAACAGAAACUGGACAAAGGUAGUCUUCUAAAGGAAAAUAGGAGAACAGGCUUUUUAACCGAUUGCAACUCAAAGCAAAACAUGCCAAAAAGGUUUUCCAACAGGAUGAACAGAAGGAUAGCGGAACAACUGUGAUGUACCUGUGAAUCCAUGACAGCUGCAGUAUCUUUUAUUACUUAUUUGGCAGACAGAAGAUUGCUCUACAACCACUUCUCUCUUCUUUUUGCUCUAGGAAGUCUCUGUCUCUUGAGCCAUGGGAGAAUUCACAUGUAUCUGGGGCUUAUUUAUUUACAGAUUAGGUAAUAGAGAGCAGGCUACACUAGCAAGCCUUUAUAUGAUAGGCAGCCUCUGGAUCUCUGAGAAUAUUUUUAAUGACAUACUGCCUGCAUGAUAUAUCUUAAUCUUUUCCCUUAAUGCUGCACUUUCAUAUGUGAAGCAGUGGCAGGCUUUACAUAAAUAAAACUAGUAUGUAUAUAAUAGGUUUGCAAUAUUUAGAUUAUUUGAAAGCUAGCUGGCAUAUAAUUUUAUUUUAUUUGACUAAAUCCAUGCAUUUUCUGCAAUGCAAUUCCAGUUUGCAGCAAAUAUAUCAAAUGACAGGCAGACUUUUUGAAAUAGUUGAAAAAAAACAAUCUUUUGAACUGACAGAUGAACGAUAGUAAUGUGAGAAAUUGCGAUUUAUUUAAGAAACAUGAACUCUCAAAAAUCUCUUUGUGACAUCUUGCUUCCAUUUUGCUGUGCUAUGAAUGUGACAGUAAAUAUUAGCACAGGGUAAUGUAAGAAUACAACUCAAAGAAUCAAUAUAUGAAAACUAUGAUAGUUGCUGGAGACAUGUUAGUAUGUUCAUAGCAACUUUACUGCUUAAACCAGAUAUUUUAGUUAUGCAGAUGGGUAAACAUGUUCCAAGCAGCUGUUAAGUUCACUGGCCAAUGCCCCGAAAAUCCAGCUGUGUGCUAAGCUUCACCGCUGAACUUUGCAAAAUCACCUUUAAGUGAAAGAACAAAAGGAAUUUUAAAUAGAGAAGUUGUGCCAAGUCUCUGCUUCUGUGUGAAUUUAAUUUAAAAUAAUUAAAAUUUAUAUUUUAGUAUUACAAAUCAAACACUCCACUGCUUUUAUUCUCUUUCUUUUUUUUUGGUUCCUCUGAAUUGUUAUGUUAUCCAGCUGUAGAUUUAAUACUUUAAUAAAGCAUACUUCUGAAAGUUGAAUAAACAUGUUACUUGU